ACAAAGGCAAGUGACUAUGGAUGGAGAUGAAAGUAGAAAGGAGUCAUGUGAGUGGGCUCUGCUCCUGGAUCCCGGUUACUGAGCCACAACACCUUCAAACUUGCUGUUUUGCAGACUUAAAGGUACUGCACAAAAGAAGCUUCUCUGAGGACUGAAAACAAGUUGGACAUGACUGCAGCUUAAAGAGUUCACAACUGGAUAAGACUGUCAAUGACCUUCUUCCUCAGCAGCCUGUAUAGCAACUUCUAGAAGAAAAGAAGCUUUCCUAUUGGCACCAGCUUGAUUCUGUUCUGUGACCCAAGUUUACUGUGUAUUCAGCAAUAGAGUCAGUGUCUGUCUCUGCUUCUAGGUGUGUACAUAAUUUUUGAGACAGUGUCUUACACUAGUUUAGAACCAUGUGGACUAGGCUAGCUGACCAGAAAGCCCCCGGGAUCUCUCUGCCUCACUCUCUUCAACAGUAGUUUUAUAGCAGGCAUAACCAUGUCCAGUUUAAAACAAAAUAUGGGUUCUGGGAAAACUUGGCUCCUGUUGCUUGCAAGGGAAGCACCUUAGCAACUAAACUAUGUCACAGACUGGGUUUCUCCAAACUGGUGAGACGAGACCCUGGUAUACCAUCACAGCAGGUAUACGUUAAUGAUUUUGCAUAGUUGUCUUCUUAAUGGAUCUACAGCCACUUACUCCAGGGAAAUAGAAACACCCGGGCACUCCAAGAACAGCCAGAUAUAAGUCUUCCUUGACACUUCUAUCCCAGGAUCCACCUCCCAUUCAGUCACAUCAAGGCUUUGCCAAUGACUAGUGCUCAUGAUGCCAAACAAAAAGCAGAGUCUUGGCCAAAUUUGGCUUAUGGGGCCAGUGAAUCAACGGAGUAUACAUUUCCAAGUAUCUUAAGGUUUACCAUUAAAGAACAGAUGUGGUUAUCUCAUGAUGUUUAUGUGAGCUCAAUUUAUGCAGAGAAGAACCAUCACACAGUUGCAAAGACAAGCGGCAACUCCUAAGUCUCCAUGUGUACACCAAUAUGGUGCAUCAAAACAUUGUAGCCCCCAGGAAAAAUGGCAGAAACUAGGGAUCACCCUAAGAGAGCCAAAGGAUAGCAUAUCUGGGUAGUGGUCUUUUGUAUUUCACUGGUACAUGAAAUACAUGGUCCGAUAUAAACUAGAUAAAUCCUGGUACAAAGUAGUCUCAACUGCAUUUACUGCUUAGAUUGGAUGGGUAGCUAGUGCUGGCUUCUUUUAGUGUCUUAAAGGGGGGUUGAGAAAGACUGUGAGAGGACAGGGGUAUUUAAGAAUGGACUUUGAAAAGAUCAAUGAAAAGAUCUAUCAUGACUUAACAGUGACAGAUAUUCUAAAGAGUAAAAUCGAGGAACUUUAAAAAGUAACUAGCAGAACAUUGGAGCACUAAAAAUAUAACUCAGAGGGAAGAUUACUUUUGAUAAAGGUGAUAUAAAAACCCAAGGCCAUAAAACUCAAGAUUAAAAAUAAUGACCAUGCAAUGAUAAUAAUAGUGAAAAAAAAAGCAAAAACAUGUGUGACCAGAAUUCAUAAGACCAGUCUGAAGAGUCAUUUCAAACAGACUAGCCACUUAGUAGAAAACAACAACAACAACAACAACAACAACAGAUGACUAAGCCCGUUUCACAGAAAGAGACGCAUAAACUGUCACAUGAAGGUUAGUCUUCAUUUAGUGGACAUGAAGGGACAGUGUAUGGGAAAUUCUCUUCACCUACUAGUUAGGCAAUGAAAAUACUUGAAUAGAUUUCAAAGCGCCCAACCUGCAGUAUGAAGCCUGCUAGACCAACUCAUUGCAUCAUCCUGGGUAAAUUUGUUUUCUACAGUUAUACUGUGAUUAUCAUUAUGUGUGCACAUAUGUUCCAUGGUAUACAUGUAGAGGCCAGAGGGCAACUCUGUGUGCUUGGCUCUCGCCUUCCACCCUUGUGUAGGCUUAGAAAACCCAGCUUAGCUCAUUAGGUUUGCAGCACAUGCUUCUAUCUGCUCAGCUAUCUCUCUGGCACCAGAGACAAUUUUGUUAAUAUUUGUUUGCCUCAGUUCCCUCAUCUAUAAAGGGAUGAUGAUAACAAA